rfam:Novosphingobium pentaromativorans TS6-1 contig00058, whole genome shotgun sequence.
UCCUCCACCUGCUGGGGGCAGAUGUAAUGGAUAUGCGCGUCGAUGCCGCCGGCGGUGACGAUCUUGCCUUCGCCUGCGAUAAUCUCGGUCCCCGGGCCGAUCACGAUCUCGACACCGGGCUGGAUAUCGGGGUUGCCCGCCUUGCCGAUGGCAGCGAUGCGCCCGGCCCUGAGCGCGAUGUCCGCCUUGUAGAUGCCGGUCCAGUCCAGGAUAACGGCAUUGGUGAUGACGGUAUCUGCAGCGCCUUGCGCAUUGGUGCGCUGGCUCUGCCCCAUGCCGUCGCGGA